GGCAAGUGGUACUUGAAGCCAGUGAUAAACCAUGAAGGAUGCUAAUUGUGGUUAUCCUACUUCAACAACGUGCUUGCCAGUUGCCACUCAAGACUGACAAAGUACAUGUCGUUUUCUUAAAGAAACCACUUCAACUUUUGUAUGUAGUAUGUUGUGAAGAAUAAUGAUAGGGCCUUGUUUGUAUGCAUAUCUAAUGUAUUUUCAUGCUGAAGCGGGUAAUGUACUCUUGCAAGUCUCGCACGACACCGCCUUUGCACUUGUAC
rnacentral:lncRNA from 1 species